rnacentral:rRNA from 1 species
UAAGGUCUGGCCUGCCCAAUGAGUUUUUAAAUGGCCGCGGUAUUUUGACCGUGCAAAGGUAGCAUAAUCAUUAGUUUUUUAAUUGAAAGCUGGAAUGAAAGGUUGGAUGAAAAAAUAACUGUCUCUAUUUAAAUUUUUUAGAAAUUUAUUUUUAAGUCAAAAAGCUUAAAUAUUAUUAGAAGACGAGAAGACCCUAUAGAGUUUCAUUAGUUUUUAUUAUAAAUUUUUUAGUAUUUACUUUUUUAUGAUAAAAAUUAAUUUGAUUGGGGUGAUUGAAAAAUUUGAUAAACUUUUUUUAUAUAAAUACAUUUAUAUAUGAGUAAAUGAUCCUUAAAUAAAGAUUAUAAGAUUAAAUUACCUUAGGGAUAACAGCGUAAUUUUUUUAAAGAGUUCAAAUCGAAAAAAAAGAUUGCGACCUCGAUGUUGGAUUAAAAUAAAAUUUUGGUGUAGAAGCUAAAAUAUUUAGGUCUGUUCGACCUUUAAAAUUUUACAUGAUCUGAGUUUAAACCGGUGUGAGCCAGGUUGGUUUCUAUCUCUAUUAAAUUUUAAUACUUUAGUACGAAAGGACCAAGUAUUUAAUUAAAAAUUUUCUUUAAGAAUAAAAUU